UGUUCUGUGGCUUAGUUGGUUAAAGCGCUGGUCCAUGCGCCGGUCUAGAGAAUACGGAGUCAUGGGUUCAAAUCUCACCAGAACGC
rnacentral:tRNA from 1 species